GAUGAACGCUAGCGGCAGGCUUAAUACAUGCAAGUCGAGGGGUAGCAAGAUUGUAGCAAUACAAUUGUUGACGACCGGCAAACGGGUGCGGAACACGUACACAACCUUCCUACAAGUGGGGAAUAGCCCAGAGAAAUUUGGAUUAAUACCCCGUAACAUAGCGAUGUGGCAUCACAUUGCUAUUAUAGAUUUUUCGCUUAUUGAUGGGUGUGCGGCUGAUUAGAUAGUUGGCGGGGUAACGGCCCACCAAGUCUACGAUCAGUAGCUGAUGUGAGAGCAUGAUCAGCCACACGGGCACUGAGACACGGGCCCGACUCCUACGGGAGGCAGCAGUAAGGAAUAUUGGACAAUGGACGCAAGUCUGAUCCAGCCAUGCCGUGUGAAGGAUUAAGGUCCUCUGGAUUGUAAACUUCUUUUAUAAGGGACGAAAAAAGGCUUUUCUAAGUCGUCUGACGGUACCUUAUGAAUAAGCACCGGCUAACUCCGUGCCAGCCGCCGCGGCAACAC
rnacentral:rRNA from 1 species